GAAAGGGUUCAAAGGACACAUAAUUAUUGUUCCAAAUAGAGCACAGAACAUACAUAAAGCAAGUACGUAUCAGAAGAAGAAGCACUGAAGAAAGAAGAGCUCCAGUGAUGGACUACCUCUGUCCUCAUCCAUUGUCAAUGAAGAGUCUGGCCGGGAUUAUGCUGAAUACCAACCCAAGGCCAAGCAGAUAUUCCGCAAGCUGUCGUCAGUCAGCCCCCCUCGAUGCUCAAUCGAGUGUGACCCGGGUCGUAUGGUGUUCCACUACAUCCUUGAGGAAGGGAUAUGCUACCUCGCCCUGUGUGACCCCACCUAUCCUGUCAAGCUGGCCUUUAACUACCUCGAGAAUCUACACAAAGACUUCAGUGAGCAACAUGGCAACGAUGUACACAAGGCCAGUCGACCGUACCACUUCAUUGAGUUUGAUCUCAGUGACAAAGUGGGGAAGCUGGUCGACCACUCUUGUGCCAGAGGCUAAUGGCUGAUCAGCUAAUGCAGCAUGUGAGCAUCUCCUGGCUACUGUGGAUUGGUUCUUGACUGCUAGUUUAUGCUCUUGUCUAUUGGAGACAAUAUCUGCCAAGUUUCACCAGAGAUGUGUACAAGUAUGGUAAGCUGAGGAGUGAGAGUGGCUGGAGCUGGAUGAGCCCUAGUGUGCCCAAGACUCAAGGAGGUGGUUCACCCACUUCUACGUGUGGGGGAUGGUGUGGAACUACUCUGUAUUCCUCUACUAUACCAGCCACUGUCUACUGCACACACGACUACCGCUAUUGGGACCAACAGCACUGCUGCAUUUGAAUUCAGGUAUAGUCAUACCGUAUAGCGGGUAUUUUUCGGGGGACAAAAUAUUUGUUGUUCAGCAAUAUUGAGACAUUUCGUGGGUAAUAUUUUCGUGGUUGGAGCAGGUAACGGUAGGCAAAGUCGCUUCAUUCGUGGUUAGAGGUCCAACCACGAACACCACAAAUAUUUUGCCCCACGAAAAUUACCCACCUCUGUACGGUAUCAAGGGCGUAUACAGAGAAGAGGGCAUGCAACUCGCCCAAUUCUCAGAAUCAUCCGACUUCGUAUUGAGCUAUUUUUAGAACUGCCCACAAAACGCCCACGCGUAAUCUUUGACCGCACAAGGUAAAUCAAAGUCUUUUUUAUAUCUGUGCUAGCUAGCUAGCUCGAUUGCAGCAUAAUAAAACUAGUUCUCAGCAGCAGUAUGGCUCGUACUAGCAGUGUCAAGGCAAACCAUCCAACAAUUGCAACUCCAAGAAGAUGAAACCUAGGUACAAUAAACCUGUCUUCCUGAGUCUCUGGUACUUCUUAACAAUGCGCCCAGCACUUAACUUCCCGCUCGAAGGGGUUGUCUUGGACCUGGCUGGACUAGGACUGGUCAUGACACUUCUCUAAAAUAAUACUCCACUGUUAGCUAGCUAGCUAGCUAGCAAAGGCUAGGCAGCUCUGAUGUACACGCCCAUAAUUAUAACUCCGUAAACAACACCGCCCACUUGUUCACGUCCGUAUACUGGAUUCUAUUUUUAGCAUAUUCGGUCUCUGAUACGAAGUCGGAUGAGUACGUAGGGUACAUAGUGAGUUGCAUGCCCUCUUCUCUGUAUACGCCCUUGACGGUAUUCAGUAGUAAUUGUACAUACCUUGAUUAAGUAUUAAUUGUAAGUGUACUACCAAGGGCAUAUAAAAGAAGAGAGGGCAUGCAACUCCACUAUCAGUACACGUAACUAGCAGAGUUCAAACGUGGGUGGAGGAAUGUGUGCAUUUGCAUGAAGUGCUAAAAAUAGAAAUUUCUAUUUUUAGCAUUUCAUGCACUGUCAUGCACAUUCAUCUGCCCACGUUUGAACUCUACUCAUAGGAGUUGCAUGCCCUCUCUUCUUUUAUACGCCCUUGGUACUACUGUGUAAUUGUCGACUUGUACUCACCCCUUGCUGGCCUGAUUGUAGCCACUCUGUUGUUCCUCUGGGCCUACACACAUCAGUACCGAUGUCACGUCAUCCUUGCACAACUCAGAGCAGCCAAGAACAAGCCACAGUACAGCGGCUGUCACUGCCAAGCAGACUCACGUUUGCUAUAGACACAACAGACAAAUUGUUAUGACCAUUUGUUUAUUAGUUGCUAAUAUAAUUUAUGCUAUGUACAUGCAGUACUGUAUGGUAUCAUUCAUAUUCUCCAAUCAAUAAUCUAUCAAAUUAAUGAUCGAAAAAAUUAAUUUUGAAUUUGCAGUGAAUAUAGUGACGCUUCUUAUGCUAUUAUUUGUACAUGCAGUACAUGGUACAUUGAAUUAGUAUGACAUCAUUUAUUGUUCAAGCAAUAAACCUUCAAAUGAUCGAAAAAAUGAAUUUGAAUUUGGACAAUAAUUCAGUAAUUUGCUAGCUAUACAGUUUUGUCCACUUUUCUCCUAGUGAGUGUUCUGGUUUCGUCUAUUCGUGCCUUGUGUAUCUGGAAGGAGGGCGUGACCCACUGCCCACACGAGCACUGAUCACCUGACCAGUUGAAUGACCCCAGACGAGCCGAGCACUUGAGACACAGAA